rnacentral:rRNA from 1 species
UAGGUCCUACGGGGGGCAGCAGUGGGGGAUAUUGCACAAUGGGGGGAACCCUGAUGCAGCGACGCCGCGUGGGUGAAGAAGCGCCUCGGCGCGUAAAGCCCUGUCAGCAGGGAAGAAAAUGACGGUACCUGACUAAGAAGCCCCGGCUAACUACGUGCCAGCAGCCGCGGUAAUACGUAGGGGGCAAGCGUUAUCCGGAUUUACUGGGUGUAAAGGGAGCGUAGACGGCAUGGCAAGUCAGAUGUGAAAGCCCGGGGCUCAACCCCGGGACUGCAUUUGAAACUGUCAGGCUGGAGUGCAGGAGG